AGUGAACGCUGGCGGUAGGCCUAACACAUGCAAGUCGAACGGCAGCACAGUAAGCGCUUGCUCUUACGGGUGGCGAGUGGCGGACGGGUGAGGCAUACAUCGGAAUCUACUUUUUCGUGGGGGAUAACGUAGGGAAACUUCCGCUAAUACCGCAUACGACCUACGGGUGAAAGCAGGGGAUCUUCGGACCUUGCGCGAUUGAAUGAGCCGAUGUCGGAUUAGCUAGUUGGCGGGGUAAAGGCCCACCAAGGCGACGAUCCGUAGCUGGUCUGAGAGGAUGAUCAGCCACACUGGAACUGAGACACGGUCCAGACUCCUACGGGAGGCAGCAGUGGGGAAUAUUGGACAAUGGGCGCAAGCCUGAUCGAGCCAUGCCGCGUGAGUGAAGAAGGCCUUCGGGUUGUAAAACCCUGUUGUUGGGAAAGAAAAACAGCGGGUUAAUACCCCGCUGUUCUGACGGUACCCAAAGAAUAAGCACCGGCUAACUUCGUG
rnacentral:rRNA from 1 species